rnacentral:lncRNA from 1 species
GCCGAGUCCGGACCUUCGCUGCGCGGCGGGCACCCGGGUCCCGCGGACCCUUCCCCUGCAGGUAGGGACGGCAGCCGGGCGCGCGGUCCGCGGCGCGGGGAGCCUGGCGGGGCAGCCUCGCCUCCGGGCCUGGAGGUUGGUGGGCUGGCGUCCCGGAGAGGGCGCUGGGUGUCCGACCUGCCUCGCUGGUCCCCAGCCCGAGUCCCAGCGCGGAGCAGGCUGGGCACGCCAGUGGGGCGUGGGGAGGAGGCUUCUCUGUUCCGUUCAGCUAAAGCGAUCGCGGACACUCCGCAACCCUUAGGGCGUGAUUUCGGAGGUUGAAAGAAGCAGCCCUCUGAACUCUGGACCUAGCCCAGGAGGAGGAGGCGAAGCUGGCAAUUGAGAGGGACGUGAAGCCUCGCGUUGCUAAGGGAGAUGGCAGGAGCGGCGCGGUCACCUAUGCAACCGCUCCUGGGGGCGGCGGGGGAUGUGCUUCCUCUUUCUCCUUUUCUUUGGGGAUGGAAAGGGAGACUGUGUUGGAGAACAAAGAUGUAUGAGAGAAGGAGGGCUCUCCAGCUGUCGCCUCUUCUCCUGAUCCUACUGACCCCUCACCGCGACCCCCACUGGGCGAUGUCGGCUCUAUUGUCUUAGAGGCGGGGGACUAAGUGAUGGGCAAGUCCGCGGGCGCCAGGGUACCUACUAGGGGCUCUUGGUUCCUCGCCCCCUCUUUCCUGGCGAGGUAAAACCAAGUAGGUUGGUGGAAGUGCUCGACUUAACGGGUACCUGGUACAACCGGAGAGGAAAUGGAGAUGAUUUUUAUCAAGUUUUCUUAGUAUUUCUGUGAUUUUAUAGAAAUCCAGUAAACACUCACUUGUAGCUCAGAGCUGCCUGGGGGCAGUGAGCCAAUGCAUUAACACCGCGCAUGCUAGUCCUGUGCCACCUGGAAGAAUUAUUUAACGGUCGAAGGAAAAGCCAUUGCUAAGCAGGACCAAGUCAAACUCGGCUGCUCCAAAUUGGCCAGAGAAGUGAAGGAGCGGAAAGCCACGUCUGUGCUCUCCCUAGCGCGGGAGCUUGGAAAGCUCUCCACCUCUCCGGAGUUGUGUGUGGCUUUCUUUGGGAACCCCAGGAAUCCUGCGCGAUCCAAACUGGGAUGAUGGUUACUGUUUGCUUGCAUUCUUAGGGCUGUGUAGGAUGCUCCUGCAGCCCUCCAGUGCUCUCCCAGGGCUUUUCAUGUAGAAUCAAGAGGAAGGACAAGGGACCCCGAGUCAUCUGUGGGAUCCUGGAAUCAAAGCCACUGACUCAGUAGGGGGCAAACAGAGGUCCAGCUGGACCAUCAAGAUUCCUCCUCAUGGGAUUAUUGCAUAGCUGCCAGAAUAAGUUGUAUUUUUUUCUUGAUGUUCUUAAAAGCUUUGAAGGCAAUUUAUCCCAUCCAUAGAGUCAGGCUGUGUGUGUUUGAAGUUGUUUGAGAUUGCUGAUGCUAUACAUGCACCUGUGAUAGGUACUUACCAUUCACAUCGCUGGUCUCUUGCCACAUGUGGUCAGCUUGUGUGAGCAUAUGAGGUUUAUGUUUGGUGGACUUGUUUGGAAACCAGGAUAUAUGUCAUUGCUGUAGGGUCAGCGUUAUAUGUCCCAGAGGCCAAAUUGCAUGCUAUGAAAAUCAUCUGGAUGUGAUAUUUAUUUAUCAAAGGAAAGAAAUUAGUUUAAUCACUAAAAUGUCAUCUAGAGAGCACAGUUCCGUGGUUUAGUUCAUCUGUGUCCUGUGAGAAUGGGGGAGGGUUUCAUAAAAUGAAAUGAUUUGUUUAGCACACACUAAAUAGCUGAAGUAUUUUACAUGUGUAAUUUAUACUCUAAAGAUCCCCUUCUCUUGGGCUGAAAAGCUUGAAGAUAUAAGCUCCAGUAGCUCCUAUUCCAGGUCAUUAACGUGAUCUGGGGGCAGUUCAGCACUCCUGCAGAUAAAGGAGUGUGUUGACUCAAUAGGAGCCCUUUGCACGACAUGAAUGUUCUUGAAGGAAACUAAAUAGAAGUAGAAACAUCUCAUCCUCCUUAAGAGAUCAGAAAGUAAAAUCUGUUGGGUAAGACUAAUAACCACAUGUAAAGUGUAUAUGUGAUCCAAGUAUACGUGUGGUAUAUGUCUCUAUGUAUGUACACAACCCAUAUGUCACAAAUGUGUUAAAACAUUCCUGUGAUAGAAGAUAUUGCAUUGGAACUGGGCUCUUUGGAAAAGAUGCUUUUUAAAAUUUGAGGCUAUGCUCAGCUAAGCACCUCAAUAAUGUAUCUGCUCUUUCCAGAUCUUAUCACCUGGGCAAUUCCAAGCCUGUGACAGCACAUGCUCAUAGAAUAAGAAAAUACCAGGGUGGACAGGAACUUGAAAAAUGAUUGGCUCAAGCUGCUAGUACUACGGGGUGAGGAACCAAGGCCCAGAGAAUUGGGGUGAUGUUUUGAUGAUCUCCUGGCUAAACAUUGGCAGGGUUACUGGGGCUCACUGUUCCCACCACCCUGGAGUGUCAGGGAAGUGGGAAUGGGGGUACCUGAUGACAGCCUCCUAGAGACCUGCCAAGGGUGGAUGCUCUCUGUCCUCUCCUUACCGCUGUUGCAUGCAGUUCUCCAUCCCAGCCUUUCUCCUAGGGACUCUUCAUUUCUAUAUUGAACUCUGUGCCAGGCACAAUACAGUGUUCUGUGAGAUUUCUACAGAGCAAAGACUGAGCAUGUUAACAGAAUAAGGAAGCCUUAUUUGGAUUUAAAAAAAUGCAUGUGAAUUGACCAGAUGGGCUUAAAAAUAAAUCAAAGCCAUGCAGUGAAAGCAGGUGCUGUUUACCUGAAGUGCACAGAGGGGAGGAGGCAGUCAUAGGGUAAACGGGCUUCACCCCGGGAACAUUGAAAUGCUCAUGGCAAGGACACCUCUCCAUAUCCUCAUUCACUUCUCCAUCUAAUAUCCUCUUUAACCAUCACACCUGCCCUGCCAAAGAUGCUGGGGAGGUAAGGUUGUUCAUUCCCCUUUCCCUGUUUCUACUCAUGUAACCCUGGUCCUUCUUGCUCUCAUAAACCCCCCACCAAAUGAGAUGUCCUGCUGGGGCUGUGCUACACAGGGCAAUUCUUGCCUCAGGUGUCCUGUCCCCAUAGCUGCUCCACCUUCAUGUCCCAAAGCCUGUGCUAGCAGAGGCUCCCUAGGGAUUUAAGAAAUGCUUUUGACCACAGAGAACUAAUGGGCCAACUUAAGUGAAGAAUUUAUUAUACUCAACUUUCCUCUCUUAGGAAUGGACUUUUAUCAAUGAAAUGUGACAAACAAUGAUUUUUAGACAGUAUACAAGGAUAAAAAUGGAUUAGCAGUUCUGUAGUGAUAUUUCCUAGAAAUGAACAGUGUUUCAAGUGUACAAUAAUUUGACUUUGAAAAGAAUAGUCUAUAUCUUGCAGGACUGGGGCAGGGUGCUCCUUGCCUGCAAUUCUAGGUUCUUUGGAGGUGAAAGGAGAGGAUUUCUCCAGCUAUCCCUGGUCCUACAGAAUCAGAGUCUGGCUGUGGGACACAGUAAAACCCUGGGCCAUUGUCAUUAGUGUUGCCUCUGAGAACCACAGGGUGAUAAUCAUUCAAGGAUUCAAGUGUAUCUCCGCCAUGUAGCUGGAGUCGCCUCUCUUUCCUAGUAGGUAGGAGUCUGUAAGCAAGUCUCUUACUUGCUAUUCUUGUUAUUACAAUAGCCAGAGACCCAAUAAUGCACCAGGCUGCGAGUUCUAGGGAACUUUACAGUUAACAGUAUCUAACUGUAACUAAAAACAGACAUAAUCUAAAUGUUGAUAUUUUCACACAACUGUCAGCCUCAGAACCUUCUCAACCUCUUUGUUUGUCUGACACAAAGCCUUGCUAUAUGGCCAAAUACAUUCUACACAGAAUUGUAAUACUUUAUAUAUAAUUAUGUUUUUGAUUUUUUUUCUUUGUACUGGGAAUUCCAGACAACAACUUUAGUUAUUUAGAGCCUCACUAAGUUGCUGAGGCUGGCCUUGAACUUGCCUUCCAAAUUGCUGAGAUUACAAGCAUGUGCCACUAUGCCCAGUUGUAAUUGUGUUUUUAAAACAGCUAUUUAAAAUGAUCUGGUCUCUCUAAUUUCUGCCCGUGCUUUUAUCUUGGUGGAUGUGGAAGAUGCUGGAAGCGUUGCCAUGUUCACUCUCUCCACCUGUUCAAGUUCAUUCCGCAGCCCUUUGUGGUCCAGCUCCUCUGACCCUGGCCUGGCCUUCUCCCUUCACCUCCUCAGCUCUGCGCUGCAUGCUCCUUCUCUGGCCUCUGCCUCUCCCACUUUGCGAAUCCUCCUCAGCUUCCCCUGGGUGUGUGCCUGAGUUCCCAUCUGCACUCCCAGGCUGACCUGCUUUCUGCCUUCACACCUCCAUCUGGCUGUAGGCACCUUCCCUGACGAUGCCCCUUCCAUACCGGGCUGCUGUUACCCCAUCUCGAGUUCCAGUCUCUCUGCUCUGUCCAGGCUCUGAGGUCCCUGCUUGUGUGUCCUGGCCACGCUGCUCUUCCCCUUCCCUCCCCCACUUCCCAUUUCCAUCAAUCAUCAAGGUUUUUCAAUUUGUCUCAUGAAUGUUAUUCAAAUUAGUCUUCCCUCCUCUGACCUUCUAUGACUGCCCCCGAUCUAGGCUUCAUCAUCUGCAGCCAGGGCUCAGAGACCAUCCCUAAUUCAUCUUCCUGCUCCUGUCUGUGCCCCUCUGAACCAGGCUUACAGUUGCCAGAAUGAUUUAUCUUAAAUGCAAAUUUGGCUGUGAGACCGCCUGCUUAAAGGACUUAAAUGAUUUCCUGCUACCACAGUGUGAAGUGCAUUCUCCUCUGCAUGACACAUGUUGUGGCCCCUGCUGACCCCUCCUGCCCACCUCCUCUCUCCCCUCUCCUGAGUCAUAUGCUUACUUUCAACAACAUCUACUGGUUUGUAUUCCUCCACAUAGAACAUAGUGAUUCUUCAGACACUGGCAUUCCCCUGGGUUCUGGACAUGACCCUCCUCUUGCUGUGCUAAGCUGGAAUCAAAUCUAGAACAUCUUCCCCAAAUAUGUCCCCACCCUCUGUGACUGUACUCCUGGCUCCUCCUUACUGCACGCACAUCCUGGUGCUUCCCCCCACAUUGAACCUCUGUUGGAAUGCCUGCCUUCCCCCUGCACCGUGAUCACCACUCUCUGAUCUCUGGGAACAUCUAGUAGGUGUCACAUGCACAUGAAGAAGGACGCUGCCUGGGACCUUGAGCAGGAUCUCUGGAGAUUCCAGCUCGCAGCUCCCUGAGCUCUGGACGGAUGCAGCCCCUAUCUCACUUUCUGUUGCCUUUCUCUUCUGUUCCAUCGUCCCAAUCCUGUUCUGCUCAUCCAGACUCUCUCUCCUUUGCCCUGCCUCUAUAGUCGCCUGCUCAUCUUAUAGGCAGGGAAAGAAGACCUGGGAGACGGAGGGCCUCCCUCAGUUACACUGCCAGCCUGUGGUGCGGCCAGGUUUGCAUAAUACUAGGAUUAUUUGCCCUGUACACAUGUCACUUUGUAAGAAAACAGGAGGUUGCUUAUUUAUCAAGUGCCAUGUGGAAGACCAUCUAUAGCUGGGGGCAGCAAACCACACCACCAGGCCACACUCAAGCUGUGGCCUGUCUGUGGACAGCCUGUAAACUAAGCAAGCUCCUUACUAUUUAAAAUUAUCGAUAAAGCAAAACAGCCCAAACAAUGUUGAACAACUCACAUCCGUGGCUCACAGAGCGUGAACUAUUUACUAGUCGACCCUUUUAUAGGAGAUGUUUGCUGAGCCCUGAUCCCCAGCAACAAUGUGAACUGAAGCUCACAUUUGGCAUACUUUAUAUGGUCUUUGGCAAAAAAAAAAAAUGUACCACUAGAAGAAAAAGGAUAUAUAAAAAAUAAAUUGUGGACUUACAGGCUUUUAAAUGAAACAAAAGAAGAAGAAGUCAUAGCUCAUACCAUUCUCAGAGAUGGUGUCGUAUCUAUUUCCCAAGUUCUUGAUGUUUAUCAUUUAUCAACAAAUAGUUACCAUGACAGAAAUAAUAACUGGUAAGCAAUGUAAUUAAACUAAGUCAGUUACUACUUCAUAAAUAUUAUUGUGGCACUUUUGUUAAAACAUAUAUUGAAGGUGUAGAUAAGGAUGAGUUUGGUGUACAAAUUUUAAAUAGUUAUGAAUAAUAAUAAAAUUAUGAAUAAAAAUCAGCCCUUGAAUCCUUCUUUUUCUAUAACUAAAACAUAGAAAGCAUUUUUAAUUCAUAUUUGUUCCUGGAAUUAGUGUUUUAAACAUAAACCUUCGGAGGUUAAAACUCUAGCAUGUGGUACUGUAUGCCCUUAAUGAACACAUUUGAAAUAUUUAAUAAUUCCUUUAAGAAUGAUAAAGUCUUAUUCAGCAUACUCAUUUUCUUUCCAAUUUAGAUUCCCAGUUAUAAUCAUUCAGUAAUAUGUGGCUGGGAGUCCUGGGUAGCAGUGAUUCCAAGAGCUCCCAAAUCUUCUUUAAAAAGUCUAUUAAUAUGCCUUUUAUCUAUAUUAUUUGGAACAGAGAGCCAUUAACUUUACAUUUAUUUCAGAGAUUUAAAACUGAAUAGGAGAGCCAGACAAAAGAAAUAGAGCCUAGAAAAUGAGGAAACUUAUAAAUGAGUGCUUAGAAAAUGUUUUAUAUAGGUGAUAUAGAUUUUAUAUGGUUAAGCUUGCGGGUUUUAUUUUACAAUGUACAGAAACAAAUAACGAAUUCUGGAGGGAGCGUAGAACAAGUUGUUUCUCAGGAAGGGAGACUGCUGAGGCUGUGGAUGUGUGCAUAGUCAGAUAAGGAGGCGAGAUCGUUUCCUAAUACGCAUUAUUAAACACACAUGGACGUGAAAAUGGCAGUCUAGUUUAAUGUGGUCCGUAAGAGCACUCGGUGGAGGUGGAGAAGCUGCUGGAAUUCUUGAUGGCUCCACCAUAGUCUAAGACCAUGAGAGCAGGAAAAAGCUGUUUGGGGCCUCGUCUGUGAAACGGGACAGGCACGGUGGCUUUGAGGGGUGUCCGUAGGACCAUGUGAGAGGACACUGCCAGCCUUAAGGCAACCUCUGUGGAGAGGACGUGGGCACGGUAAGGCUUCUUCUGAAGGUCUAUUCAGAAGUUUGAGUCACCUUCUAACAAGAGUAUCCAUGUGAAGCCAAAAUAAAAAUAACUGCUGUAGGCUUCAUUCUGAUCAAUAGGUAAGAAAUUGAUGCUGACAGGUGUAUGACAAAAAUAUUAGAAAAACAUGGUCCAGCAUCCAGUCUGUAAUGGGCUGGAGCGAAGCUCAUUGGUGGCACUCUCGCCUGCCGUGCCUGAGGCCCUGCUGAUGCCUGCAAAAAUGGAAAGCAAAACACCGCAGAAGGAGGUUCAGAAAAAGUGCUUAGAGUGUAUCACACUGGGACAGCUCGGUGCGUGGCAGGUCACAGGAGAGCGGAUUUCAGAGGGAUAAGAUGAGCACAGCCCAGUGGGCAGACGGUGGAGAGUCAGACACAAAUGGAGCAGGAGAGGCUGAAGAGCAAGAUAAUGGCUUCCUGGUUGUUAAAAGGAAGCAGCAAAGUCACAUAGCAAUGCCAUCCCCCUCUCCAGAGCCUACCUGUGAGGUGACAUUUGGUUAGGGCCCAGGUACAAAACCUCCAUGAAAAAUGAAAACAGUAGAGCGAGCUCAGCAGAACGUCAGGACGGCACCCUCCACCUCUACAGACUGGAGGGUGACGGCCGUGACAACACCCAGGCUCACCCCAUGUGCUCAGCAGAAGAAGAGUGGCCAGCUUCCGCUUGGCCCUGGGGGAUAAAAAGGAGAGAAGGUUUAAAAGUGAUUUGAAAACCAUUUAUCAUCAUUUUGUCUUCUAUGUUCUUCAUCAAGAAAAAGCUUAAAAAAAUCAUCGUCUUGGAUUAAAGCCCAAAAUAGGUGAAAAAUGAAAACAAAGGCAUCCAGCCCUUUUAAGUGAAUUUACGUGAGGCUGGCAUCCAACCUGGGCCAGGACUCUGAAAGAACUGCCAGUGGGAGCCUGCUGUGGUGGCACACGCCUGUAAUCCCAGUGGCUUGGGAGGCUGAGGCAGAAGGAUCACAAGUUCAAGGUCAGCCUCAGCAACUUAGUGAGACCCUGUCUCAAAAUAGAAAACAAAAAGGGGUGGGGAUGUGGCUCAGUGGUAGAACUCUCCUGGGUUCAAUACCUGGUACAACAAAACAAAACAAAAAACAUGCAAAUGUGAGAGCCCCUGGUAAUCUCUGGUCCAUGGACAGAGUUUCAAAAUACUAGAGAUCUGGGGUACAUCAGAUGCCCUAAGUUCACAAAGAAGCAUCAACGAAGCUUAGAACUGGAAUGCACGUGCCCAUAAAAAGUAAAAUAUACAUAUUAUAUUUCACACACAUCACAAAUAAUUAUUAAACCUUUACAACCUGGGGAGACAGAAUAGUUGAUAAAAAUAAGUGACUGCAAACUUACUUGAAUACUGAGUCUGAGAAUAAAGCCAGAAAAAAUUAAGGCUCCAGUCUAUUUAUUUAUAAAACUGGAUCUGAGCUAACUAUUUUCUAAGGAUCAUGUGUUCUAAGAAUUUAUGGUAAAGUUUAACUGAUUUGUUGUUGUUGUUGUUGUUUUGGGCUUUACUUAGUGUCAUUUUUAAAAACUGUCUUUAAAAACACAUAACAUAAAAUUUGCCAUCCUAACAGUUUUCAAUUGAACAGUACAGUCGUGUUUAACGUCAUGAACAUUAUUUGCUACAGCUCUCUAUGAAUGUUUUAUGUUGCUAAACUAAAAAUACGUACCCAUUGAACAACAGCUCCAUCACCCAGCCCUCUGCCUCUGAGGUGUCUGCUCUGGGGACCUCAUGCAAGAAUCCUGUGGUGUUCAUUUGUUCGUGACUGACCUGUUUCACCUACCACAAUGUCCUCAAGGGUCAUCUGUUUUGUGAGCAGUGUACACACACACACACACACACACACACUAUAUGUAUACAUACAUAGUACACAUUUUCUUCACCCAUUCAUCCAUUGGUGGAAAUGUGGGUGUUUUCUCCUUGGUGGUUGUGAAUGACUCUGCAGUGAGCAAGCUGUAGAUGUGUCUUCAAGAUCUUGUGCUCGGUUCUUUUGGACCUCAUGUAGGGCAUAGAGUAUUUCUACUUCUGAUCUUCUGAGGAACCGUUUUCCAUCGUGGCUUCCUGCGUUGCCUUCCCACCAGCAGAUGGUAAGGGUUCCAUUUUCCACAUCCUUGCCAAUGCUGGUUAUGUAUUGAGAAUAGCCACCCUAAGGUGUGAAGGGAUGCCUCGUCGUGGUGAGAAUUUGCAGUUUCCUGAUGGUUGAUGAAGUUGUUGAGCACCACUUCAUAUACCUGUUGGAUCUGGGAUGUCUUCUUUGGAGAAAUGUCUGUUGAAGUCCCUUGCCUAUUUUAUAUCAGGUUUGUGUUUUGCUUUUGGCUCUUGGCUUAAAGAAUUUGGGUUCUUAACCUCUUAUCAGAUAUAUGGUUUGCAAACUGUUCUUCCUUUCUGUAGGCUGUUUCCAGGGUGCUGACUAUUUGCUGCACAGAAGGCUUUUGGCUUCAUAUAGUCUCAUUGUCUGUCUUUGUUGCUCCUGCUUUUGGUGUCAUAUUUAAAAUACCAGAUCAGUAUCAUGGAGAUUCCCCGUUGUGUUUUCUUUUAGGAGUUUAUAGCUUGGGAACCUCUGUUUAGGUCUUUGUUUUUUGUACAUGGUGUAAAGUAAGGUUCCAGUAUCAUUCCUUUGCACAUGGAAUCCAGUUUUCCUUUCCUUUCCCCACUGUGUAGUCUUGGCCCCCUUAUGAAAGAUCAUGACUCUAUACGUAAGGUUUUUCCCCAGGUUCUCAACUCAUUCAUUGGCUUGUAUGUCAGGGUUGAAGCUGCUGCCAUACUGUUUUGCUUACUGUAGCUUUUAACACGUUAUGUGAUCAGGAAGAGCGUGAUGUUCAUCUUUGUUCUUCUUUCCCAAGAUUAUUUUGGAUAUUUGGGAUCUUUUGAAUUUCCAUAUGCAUUUUAGAAUUUCUUUUCUAUUUUGGCAAGUGCUGCUGGGAUUCUGAGAGAGUUUUUGUUUCAUCUCUAUAUCGCUUUAUAUAGGAUAGACAUUUUAACAACCUAAUCUUCCAAUUCAUGAACAUGGGAUGUCUUUCCAUUUAUUUGUAUUUUCUUCAAUUUCUUUCAGAAAUAUUUUGUAGUUUGCAAUAUAUCAAUCAUUUUCAUUUGUCUCAAGGUAUUUUCCAAUUUUCUUUGUGAUUUCUUUGUAGUUUUCAAAAUUAUGUUAUUUAAUUUCCACAUACUUGUCAAUUUCUCGGUUGGCCUUCUAUAUUAAUUUCUACUUCCAUUCUAUUGUGGUCAUAAAAAUACUUGGUGGGAUUUCAAACUUUUAAAAUUUAUGAAUAAUUAAUCUGUGUCCUAACUUGGAGUCUGUCUUGGAGAAUGUUCAGUGUGUGCUUGAGGAAAAAAUAUGUUCUGCUGUUGUUGUGUGGAGUAUUUUAUAAGUAAGUGCCUGCUGGGUCCAAUUGCUCGAUAGUUUUAUUCAAACUCUCUUUCUUGUUAGUAAUCUUCUAUGUGGUUGUUGUGUCAAUUCUUAAAACAGGACAUUGAAAUCUAACGUUAGUGCAUUGCUGCCUCUUUUCUCCUUAAAUUCUUCCAUUUAUUUGGGUGUACUCUUGGUGGGUACAUAUGUAUUUAUAAUUUUUAUUUCUUCCUGUUGAAUCAAAUCUUUUAUCAUUGUAUAUUUCCUUCAUUGUUUCUUGUGACAAUUUUACUAAAAAUCUAUUCUGGCUGGGCAUGUUUUUUUGUGUGCCAAUAAUCUCAGUGGCUCUGGAGGCUGAGGCAGGAGGAUUGAAAGUUCAAAACCAGCCUCAGCAAUUUAGCAAGGCCCUAAGCAACUCAGUGAGAGCCUGCUUUUAAAUAAAAAUAUAAAAACAGGCAAGGGGUCUGGGGAGUUGGGGAUGUGGCUCAGUGGUUAAGCGCCCCCCCCCCCCAAAAAAAAAGAGAGAGAGAGAGUCUAUUCUGUCUGAUGUGAGUGUAGCCAUCCUUUCUUUUGGAUGUAUUUGCAUGGAAUAUCUUUCUGUCUUUCACUUCCAGUCUAUGUGUAUGUUUACAUCAAAAGUGAGUCUCUAUAUUUACAUAAUUGGAUCUUGUUUCUUAACUCUUAAGUUUUUAGGUCAGAAACUUUGAUCCGUUUACCUUCACGAUUGUUACUGAUGAGGAAAGACACAGUAUUACUAUGUUGCUAGCUUUUUCUGUGUUCUUACAUCAGAUUUGGUCCUUUUCUUUUGCUACCUCCUUUUCUGUUUCUUUGAGUUUCUUGCAGGGACAUGGUUUGUGCCCUCUCCCCUUUUCUUUUGGGUCCCUUCCUUAGGUAUUUCUUUGUAGUCACUGUGGGGAGCACAAGCCACAUCUUAUCAUUGCACCCGUUGUGACCCCAGUAACAGUUUACCUUCCAUCACAUAAAAGGCCUCUCUUCCUUUACCUUUCCUCUUCUUUCUGUUCUUGGUGUCACUGAUCACCUAUUUUCACUGCUGUGUAUCCAUUAGCAGAUUUUCAAGCUUAUACCUAUUUCUGUGCUCAGGACUUUUAAUUUUUUUCAAGUAUCAGUGAUUUCAUUCUUCAUACUAUACCAUUUUCAGUAUUUUAAAUGUUUACUUUUUAAACUUAUGGAAUUUUAAAUAUAAUAACAAAAUUAAAACCGCUUUACACCAUUGAAGAGUCUUGCGUUUGUCUCUGUAUUUCCAUUCGCCUUCCUAUUUUUGCAUGUCUUCUGUCUGCAUUUGCCACCCUUCCUCCCAACUUGAAGGACUCUCCACCACUGCUCAUGGGGCAGCACUAGUGAGGACGCACCCCCUCAGCUUUGGCUUAUUUGGGAAAGUCUUGAUUCAUCUUCAUUGUUGAAGGGCAGUUAUACCAGGCAUGAUGUAGUUGCUUGGUAUUCUCUCUUUAUUCUUUCCAGCACGUUGACUAGAUCAUUCCAUCCUCUUCCGUGAGGAAGGUGAUUCUGAGAAGGCUUCCUUCCGUGUGUUAAUUGCAUUUCCUUGCUGCUCUUUGUCUUUGACUUUGGACAGUGUGAUUACAGGUGUCCCAGUGUGGAUACUUUAGGCUCAUCGAAGCCAGAGUCUGUUGAGUUUCUUGAAUGUGGAUGUCCAUUUCUCUUCUCUGAUUUGAGAGGUUUUCAGCCAGCAUUUCUUCAAGUAAUCUCUCUGCUCCCUUUUUUCAUUUCUGUGGGAGGCUCCCAGAUACCCAUGAUAUCCGUCUUGUUCUACGCAGUGGUGUCUCAUGAGCCCUUAAGCUCUCUUCAUUUUUCUUCAUUGUUUUCUUUCUUUUUUGGUCUCCUGAAUCAAUAAUUUAAAAUGAUCUCUCUCUGGGGCUGGGAUUGUGGCUCAGUGGUAGAGCGCUCACCUAACAUGCACGGGGGCCCUGGGUUCGAUCACUCAGCACCACAUAAAAAUAAAUGAAUGGAAUAAGGGUAUUGUGUUCAACUUCAACUAAAAAAAAUUAAAAAUAAAUAAAAUGAUCUCUCUUUGAAUUAAGUGAUUCUCUUUGAAUUCAAUGACCUGGUCUGCUGUUGAACCCUUCUAGUGAUAUUUUUUUCAGCUCAGAUUUGAUAUUAUUUAGCUUCAGAAUUUCUCUUUUCUUUUUUUGUUAUAAUUUCAUUCUCUUUGUUGAUAUUCUCAUUUUAUUUCAUACAUUGUUUCCCUGAUUUUUCUUAAUAGUUCUUUGAGCUCUAUUUAAGCUCACUGAGCUUUGUUGAGAUGGUUCUUUGAAUUCAUUAUCAGGUAAUUGACAAAUUUCAGUUUCACUAGGGUUGGUUUCUGGAGAUUGAUUUUGUUCUUUGGUUUGAUCUGUGUCUCCCUGUUUCUCUGCACACUUUAUAAGGAUUUCUGCCAGGAAAAACUUUCACCAAUCAUCCUGGUUUCAGAUUCUGGAACUCUCAAACUUUCUGGGAAUGUACUUUCUAGGCUUGUGUGUGUGAUUUCCUAACUACGGAGUGUUUCCUGUUGCUUACCUUCUAUUCCUUGUCUAUCUAGGGUGCUGUGGGUUUUCUUGUGUUUCUAUGGUGUGGAUAUGAGGUGUCCUCCAAAAGCUUGCAUGUGAGACAACACAAGAAGGUCUGGAGGAGAAUGGAUCCUGAUGGGAUUAACUGAGUGGUGACUGGAGGCAGGUGGGGUGUGGCUGGAGGAAGUGGUUCACUGGGGGCGUGGCUAUGAGGUAUAUAUUUUGUAUCUGGAGUGUGGGUCUCUCUCUGCUUUCUGAUCAUCAUGUGAACUGCUUCCCUCUGCCACACUUUUCUACCAUGAUCUUCUGUCUCCCCUCCAGCCCUGAGGAAUGGAGCCAGCCUUCUUUGGACUAAGAUCUCUGAAACCAUGAGCCCUCAAAUAAACUUUUCCUCCUCUAUUAUUGUUCUGGUCCAAUCUUUUAGUCAUAGGGGUGAAAAUGCUGACUAAAACACAAAUCAGCUGUCUUUUGUUCCCAGUGACCUCCAGGGAUCCAAAGAAAGCUGGUUUCAUUACUGUUCCCAGUCAGGAGAAAGAGAAGCCAUGCCUUGGGUAUUCCCUGAAAUGUGGGUAAGCUCACAUUGCUCUCUUUUCUUUCCUUCCCGAGGAGGAAGCUGUGCAUUUGUACUUACUCCCAACUGUGCUAAACUGUACCCAGUGGAGAGUGGUGCUCUUCUGUAGAAUCCAAAGAUUUUUCUUAACUAUUUCAAUGCAGCUGUUUUGAGUUCGUAUUCACCCAGGGUCCUGGAAAAUUUUAACUGGUUUUUGGAGUUCUCAUAAAGGCACUUUAGUUUAUAUCAAACACGGAUGCUGACUCAUCCGUGUCCCUGUAGAAGAAUGAGGUACGAGAAUGCUCCUUUUGCCACCUUGAUGACAUCACUCCAUAGACUGGGUUUAGUCUGAUUGUAACAACGCAUUCUGCCACUUUCUUGGAUUUUGCCGAGGAACCACUGCCCAGUCAGCUGUAAUUCCUUCUGUGUGCAGGGGAACCUGAGCAAGACAAGAGGGGCUGGGGCAAGCCAGGUUUCUUUAAAACCAGAUGUUUAAUGGGGGCAGCCUUGAGCCAUCAAAGGUCAACAUCAGUGAGACAUACUUGAAAAACAGGCAGAGAGAUAUCAUAACUCAGGAAGGAAUGUAGUAGAAGAUUGAUCAAGGGUGAAAAAGCAAAUUCAAACUCAAGUGGAGUCCUAGGUAAAUAUCAAGACAGUCAAAUGUAUGUGCAACCAGAAGGGUACCUCAGGAGCAGAUGCUGCGUUCACGUAGAAUGUGCUAAAGCUUUGUGGCUGGCAUAGGAAAUUUACAAAGGAGAAAUAAACCAGAGGAAAAAUGAAAUCAUUCACACCCCACAACUCUAUGGAGGUCUACACUUUACCCCUUUAUAUAUAACUCUUCCUUAUAUUGUCUAUAUGGGUGUGAAUGGUUAUGUAUGUGUGUGUGUGUAUGUGCAAAUGAGUGCAAAUGAAUCUCAAUUUCUUUCACUGUCUUCCCUGUUGCUUGGUAGCCAUAUGGCUUGAGUGAAAUUGUCUGACUCAAACUCUGGAAGUACAUGGUGAUUGACUUCAGUGGAUCAGAAUCCUGCUUGAUGUGUUGAGUCCCCCCUCUGGUGGCUUUUCAGCCACCAGAAGUGUGGCUUGAUCAAGUGUGGAUGAGAACCCCAUCAUUGAGCUCUGUUCCCUCUCUCCCUCUCCACAUUGUCCUGCUGAGCCAUUGCGACAGGAGCCACCCUGUUAGGGAAGACACCACAAGAUGCACAGAUGUGGAGAGAGAGUUGGCAGUGACCAAGUGUCCCGUCAGCCCCCGGCCCCUCUGACCUGGAAUGAGGGCCUCAGCAGAACGGGCAUGACUGUUAAGUCUUUGUAUCUAGCCUCAGUUAUUUUAUUGGAAACUAUAACAUCCGUAGCCAGAGUACAUAAUAUAAAUGUGCACUGAACACAUGAUUAUCUGGUACACAUUUGUAUUCAGAAAUAGACUAUUAUAACCAGCCUCGCUCACACCAUCCCUGCUUUUAUGCUGUUUAUUGAUCUGUUCCUCUGGAUGCAGUAGUGUUGCUCAGUGUGACUGUGAAAUUCAUGUGAAUGGGAUCAUCUGUGGUGGGUUGCACAAGUUUCAGGUUCCCUGAUUUUCACCUCCGGUGAGUGUACCAGGACUGGGCUUCAGACAUGUGGCUUGCAGUGGAGUGUCAUGGAUAGCUGCUCCGUCAGGUCCUGACCUCCCUCCUGGGUACAUAUUUGUAUACACGGCUAUAAGGAGUAUUCCCAGGCAGUGAAUACUCUGCAAUCAACAUUUAGAAAGAUCCGGAUAGAUUGAUAUUUGGGGCCAAGAAUAGCAAAAGCAAAUUUACUAGGGAGAACUGUAAGCCCCAUUUGGUUGAUUCAAAAUACCAAUGGUAUAAAUUCAGAGUGUUAAGGACCUGUCUUGACAAGAGAACAGUUGGGAUAAAUAUGUGGGUGUUCAUUGACUACAGCUCACCAUUCUAAGCCCAGCACCACCACAGCACAUGCUGUGUGCUCGGAAACUGAAGCAUCGUGUCUAACGUCCUAAGCCAAUGAUUAGCAUUUAGAAUUAUGUAUUCAAUUUUGGGAAUCCUAAAACAUUAAGAUUUGAGACAAAGGAAUAGAUACAGAAGAAAUAAACUAGAAUAGUUAAGGCCCAGAAAGAGCAGUGAGGGAAAGCUGUCCUGGGAAGGUUUGCCCUAGAAAAGUGUAGAGGGGAUGUGGUGUCUUUCAUUAUGUAGAUGACCUGAGACCACGGACGGGGAGGGGAAGAGUAUAGUAAAGCACACUUCACAAGACUCAGAAUUUAAGAUUCAUUAGACACUGAAAAUUCCCAGGAAAGGAAGAGACGAUCUUGCAACCCAAGGAGUGUUCCCUCAGAGUGUUGAGACAAACAGGGAGAGAAUCUGCCACAGUGUCUAAGAUUCUGGGUUAAAGGACGACAUCUCAGGGUCUUUUUGUCUACCUCCCUUUCCAGGGAGACAGGAAAAAUUCAAUCCUCAAAUAAGGAAAACCUGGUAACCUGGAAAGUAUUCUGCUCAAUGCAUUACUUUACUUAUUGAACAGAGAGUUAUUUCUUAGCUCUAAAUUGUAGUUUCCAUUCACCAUGUGCAAAUCUUAGACAAAAACACGUGUUUCCACAUGAAUAAUUGCUACUUAUAAAAGGAAUAAAGUCAAAAACAAAGGAAAAAAUAACCAUUAAGGAGGGAUACUUGAAAAAGAAGAACAUUGGGCAUGGUCACUUGCCCUAGUGAUAACUUUCACUCUGAUCUGCUUCAGUGUUCUAGAUUAUUUACCCCCCAAAACCUUUGAUACAAGCAGGCAAUACAGCAGGAAGGGGGUAUCUAAGUGAGACCCUGUGUUUUAGAAGUUCAAUGAUUAUUUUAAUUUCCUGAGAGUAUUAAAUAGAAUAAAAAAUCUCCAUCAGACCAAAGAAUGCACAAAAAUUAACUGCCCUCAAAUUUUUGCCCCUAAAAAUACAAAACACUCAUCUUAAGCAUAUUAGAAUAAAUGAUGUUUUGAGAGUGCUGAAGAAAUAGAAAAGAUGAAUCCCACUCUUUAGAUGUAUUCCUGUUUUCCAGAGAUCAGCGGCAUAACCAGCUUCUUACAUCUACACCUUGAUCAUUUUGCCAGUGGCAAGAGGUCCAGAUUCCACCCAGGUGAGCGCGGCUGGUUUAAUCUUGCAGAGCAGAUGGCUCAGGUCAGUGGCCAAUAACAAUCUGUGACACACCAAUGGCAGCGUAAAGAAGCCAGUUCUCCGUGGAGCAGAGCCUGCUUUUAAAAAUAGGACAGGCGGGUGACUUUUCCUGAAGGAUAGAAGUCACUCCUUCCCUCUCUGUCUCCAUUGUCUGUCUGUCUGUCUCUUUUCAUGCUGUGGAUUUAACGCCCUUAGUUGUUCUUUCCCUUGUAAGAACUGCCUGCGUCAGCACAUUGGUUGCUUUGCCAUCACACAUGAAUCUGUGCAAUGUAAAUAAUGGAAAAAGCAAGCUUUGCUUACCCAGAAAAAGCAAUACAAAAAAAAAAAAAAAUCACACACACAUACACAACCACACCCCGCCCCCAGAAAAAAACAGUCAGACUAACACCAAAAGCCCAAACCCUUUCCUUAAGGGCUUACAAAAGUUCCCUCAAGAAUGGACAUUAUGUAAAACUAACAGUGGGAAGUCUGUCUGUAGGAUGUGAGGUAAACAUGCCUUCCACUUCCCAUUCACUUUAAAAGACUGACCCUGACCCGGAGUUACUGGCAUCAUAUAAGUAAAUGAAAAUAAAAGGUUUGAAAAUUCAAACACUUUUACAUUUUAGUACUGUAUCUAUUUUAUGAAAAAUUUUAUUUAACAAAGAACAUUUCAAGGAAUCUUACAUUUUUCUUAAAAUCUAAAGAGUGGUUCUGUUUACUUUGUUUUGAAAUCUUACAUUAUGACCGGACACUGUAAUCCUAGGGCCAUCAGUUUAUGUGGCAGUGACUAGAAUUUUUAAACAUUGUCACUGAGAAGAUAAGAAAUGUGAAGAUGAAACUUAGAGUGAAUUUUCUUUCUCUGGGUUUUCUCUGCUCUGCUUCCCUGGGUCUCCUCUUCCCUCUCUCCUGGAAUGUGACCUGGGCAGGUCAUUUCAUAUUACUGUCACAGUGUUAUAAUUUUAAAAUUGUUAUCAUAAGAUCUGUCUGGUCUGCUUCAGUUUUAGUGAGAAUCAAGUGAAAUGAUGCAUUGAAAGCCAUUUAUUUACAAACUAUAAUAUGAAUUCUAUGCACGUGCAUACAUAUUACCCUGUAUACCUCUGUGGGUAAAUAUGCAAUUGCAAUUAUAGUGAAACUACAGGUCACUUCACUUGGAAAAACCAAUUUAGACAUGUGGUUGAAAUAUAAUGCAGUAUACCUUUUAUUUGUGUAUUAGAGAUUAUUUUUAAUAUCACCAUUGUUAAUUUGAAUUUCUUAUAGUUUUAGCAAUUUGUCAAUAAACUGCUCAUUUGAAGGAAGAAGUAAUCUUGAUAUCUGAAUUUGAAAACUAGGCCACUUUGAGCACAAUUGUAUUUGUCAGGGAGAAAAUUGGCUAGGAAUAUCCGUUGACAAUCUGGAACAGAAACAUUUUUACAAUUCAUUAAAUUAUUAUAUACGUUUGAGUUUCCUUCAGUCUCAGACACAUUUAAAUCAAUGGGCAUUUAACAUUCUGCAGGAUGGAUGAAACAUAGGAGAAAAAUGUUUUCAAAGAAUCAAAGUAUACAUCAUCAGAAGUGGAGAUACUGCAGUGAUCACGCUGAUCAGUCCCCCUGUGUGCCAAGCCACCACGCCUGCGACACCACCCACCACUCAGCAGGGCCGGAGUCCAUCAGGACUUGGUGGUGGACUUGGGCAGCUCUGUGCAGGCAGUAUCUCCCUCUUCCUCAGGUGCCUCUUCCCUCAUUCUCUAUCGCUUCGUCUCUCCCUCCUCCUCCUCUUUCUUCUCUCUCCCUCCUUCUCCUCCUCCACUUUCUCUUCCUUCCCUCCUCCUUUUAUCUAUGUGCAUAUUCGAGAAAGACCCAGGCUCACCUGUGCUCAGAGCCUUUGGAAUGCACAGUGGACUGGAGAGAGGGAAAAUGAGCCUGUGAGCCAGCAGGGCUGGGUGGGCUGCAGCUGGCAGGCAGCCAUCUGUCCUGGAACCGGAGUCCACAGAAUGUCAGAGGAACCCAGGACGGGGUGCCUGGUGAGCCUCGGACAGGGGCGGGCUUCACGGAGGUGUUGCCACUCACGAGGGAUGCCUGAGGAGGAGGAGGAGUUAGGGUACAUGGACAGGAAGUGGAGAUCACAUAUAACUUUGUAGUUUAUGAACUAUUUUUUAUAAGUUUGUAUUGGAUGACAAGUAGGACAAAUGAUUGAAAAUUUUAGGAUUCUAACUUAUUUUAAUUAUCUGCAAAGGCUAUUUCGAACACAAUUACCUGCUAGGGAAGAGUCUUGUUUUUUGAUUCCUUCAAACAUCAUGUAUUAGGGUUAGGGUCAGAGUUAGGGUUAAAGUUAGGGCCUCCAUAUGCUACCUCCUCCAGUCACCUCUUGUGCAGCUCUCGGGUCAGUAGCACUAUUCAAACUGGAACUGUCCUCUUUGUGUCUGCUACUCUGCCUACAACUGGCAUUUGGGACUGUGAGUAGUUUUGCUUGCAAUGUAAUCAUAUUUAAUGAUCUGCUUUGUAAAUAUGAUGGCUUUUCCUUUCUGUGGACUGUCAACUGAAUCCAAAUAUGGAAAAAAU